rnacentral:lncRNA from 1 species
CUCUUGGUAUGCAGUCUUCAAAGGUUAUUGGUGUCCUUAUGGAAAAUUCACAUAAGGACUGGUGAUGGAGAAGCUGAUCGUGUUAUACCAACUGGGAUCAGCAGUCAGGAAAGUCACUGUAUUGGGUUGUACUGCAAGUAGGCUGUACCAGAGACUCUUAACACGAAGUACCAUGAAAAAGUAAGAAGGGGAAGGAGAAAAACAAAUUGCUACUUUGUUCUCAUGUGUGCAAACCUGAAGUCCUCCAGGCACUCCCCAUUGCAGCUGAGUCUUUGCUGGUUGGACAGCAGGAGAAAUGAAGGCCCCAAAAUGGUUGGAAUUUGCCCAAGGCCAUAUAGUGGAU